ACUGGAAUGGCCUAACAGGAACAGAAAGCCAGGUUCUGCAGCUCCAUUGGGAAGCUAAGCCAGCUCUCCUGAUGCCAGGAUUAAACCAGCUGUGCAAAGGUGCACCUUAAUGCCAGCUUGUCUCAUCCACAAGGAUGUUGGGACAGCCAGCCAAAGCAGACCCUGCUGGCCCUGCUGUUUUCUGUUUCCUCAAAAUACCAAACCACUGUGGGCCCAGGCUGAUAGCAGAGGCUCCUGUUGGAAGCAGGACCUGUGAUGAACCACCUGGUGUCCUGGUCCCCUUCCUCGACAGACACCUAAAGUGCAGUAAAACCAGCUUGGCUCUGUCAAACACAGUUAUUGUCUAGCUACUGUGGAGGCACUGGUUGGACCUGGAGGAACUCUCCUCUGUGGAAAUUCUCUUGGGAUAUUCCUUUAUCCCUUCCUGGCUUCCUGUGGUUUGAGCUGAAACUCUCUCAGUGCUCCUCCACCCUUUGAACCUACAACAGACCUUCCUCAGCAAAUCUGCAGUCUGCUCAGUAUGUGCAACUGGAUUCUUUGGCCACUUGAUGUCUCUGUGGGUUGUGGAGAACUGUGGUAAAUGACAGAGGUCAUGCUGGAGCUGGAUGGAAG